GUAGUGGAUAAAGCUCCCGGGAGGAUGCCUCGGUGCGGGGCGCGUCGCCCCCCUCAGGCCACCAGAGCCCGGAUACCUCAGAAAUUCGGCUCUGGGUCUGUGGGGAGCGAAAUGCAACCCAAACCCCGUUUCCCCGAAGCCCCGCGCAGAUAAACACGCACAAGCACGCACACAGACGUCGCCUCGGCCCGCACUCGCAGCCGCAGGUCCAGGCGUCAGGGAAGAGCCCGGGGGCCCCGCGAUGGGUCGCCGCCUUCGCCUCGUAGCCCCGGGCGCGGCCGCUCGCCCUCGCCUCUCGCAGGUGGCGACAGAAGUGCCCGGCGCGACGGCGCAACGGCCGGUCUGGGCCUGCAGCCUCGGCGGCCCGGGCCGGAGGGGAGCGGCCUCCGGACACCGGUAGGCGGGGUUGCGGGGCAGGCGGGGAGCCGGGGAGGGACAGGCGGAGUCGGCCACGGACGACGGGCUCCCGCUGCGCUUUCCCGACCCACGGUCCGCAGCCGCGGCCCUUGAGCUGAGCAGCGGCGGUUCCCGGGCGGCUGGGCGCUCGCCGGCCUCGCCGUUACCGUUGGAGGUGACCUAGGCGCGGCGGGUGGGCUCCGGCGACGGAGGCGGCCGCGAUGGUGUCGGCCCGGGAGCAGGGCCGUUGCCUCUAGCUUAAUACGGCAGAUGCGCGGAAACUCCAACAGGUGGCUCCGUGGCGCAAUGGAUAGCGCAUUGGACUUCUAGAGGCUGAAGGCAUUCAAAGGUUCCGGGUUCGAGUCCCGGCGGAGUCGAAACAUUUUUCUUUUGUCACCGAGGAAAUUAUCUUUGAUUUCUGUCUUUUACACCUUUUCUUUGUAUUCUAAACGGCUUAAUUCCCAGCACAGCCACACACCAUUCCCGCUGCUCUCCGCAACCCUUACCUGGAGUUCCGGGAGCUUUCAGACCCCUUUAGCAGACCCGGACCGAUCCCAGUCGAGAGAACGGGGAGGCAGUAGAGAAUCCAGGUGCUCGACCUUGGCCUAAAUGAGAGCUUGAGAUAGGCCUGGGUCUCGAGUGACAUUCCACGUCUGGAGCUUGACAGUGACCGCAAGCAGGGUCAAGAAAACAGAAUGCGCAAGCUAGUCCGAAGGCAUUAGAAGUACACCACCUCACCCCACCCCGCCUCCGGAAUCUCGAGUGGAUCUUGUUUUGUUUUUUUGUUUGUUUGUUUGUUUUGUUUUUUAAAAAAGGCAGAUCUCUGUGGUCAUUUCAUGAUGCCAUUUCGGUAGAUCUGGAAUGGGGCCCAGAAAUCUGCAUUUCUGGGGUUGUCUGCUUUCUUCACGAAAGGAGACAGGUUGGAGUUGACAGGCUUUGCCUGCCAGCUAGAGGCAAGAGUUACUGUCUUGUCCCCUUCUGACAAGUGACAAAACUAGCUUUGCACAGAGUGAGCGUUUCACUUCACCAAGUGCCAGUAUGCAUAGUUUUUAAAAAUUCACUGUACCGACAAAACCCCUAAUUUAUGCAAACCGUUAAAAAAAUCAAAAUUGUCGGUAAAAACACACUUUCACAGUAUAUUUCACCUCUUUCGGUUAAUACAGGUGGAGCUGCACUGCUCCGUUGUGUCCCGCUGAUGGAAUAGCUAAUACUUAGACCUUUAGACAGGCAUUGUUCGCCCAUUGCAGUCCUUGAGUGGACAUCCUGUUCUUUGUGCACAAGUGUAUCUUUACAAUAGAUUCCUAGGAAGUUGGACCGCCGGCUCCAGCCGGUUCCAGCGCUCCCAAUCUCUGCCUGCUUUGAUAAGGUUUGGCAGCUUCCCCUCAUACACUCUGCUCACUUUAUUCACCCCAGCAGUGUGGGAGAAUGCCUGUUUCCCACAACCCCCAUCCCCCGAAACAUAAACACUUAAUCGUAGUUUUCAACCCACUUCUUCAUGCUCAGGGUAACUUGUACUUUGUUUUCUGUGAUUUAUCUGUCCUAGGAUUGAGCUCAUUUUCAUAUUGCGUUGCUCACACCCACGUAGGAUGGUUCUAAUAGGAUGUUUGUAUUAGUUUGUAGUUCUUUACCUAGGAGAGAAAACAGCCUUUGUUUUAAUAAAUGCUGUUUUCCAGUCUACUUGUGUGCUUAUGAAACGUUUUCCUCCCACAGAAAUUCACAUACUGUAAUUGACCAGUGUUGCUAGCUUCUAAGUGUGAAGGCCCCCAGAGUGUUAGUUCCCUUUUAAUGGUUUUCUUUUUAAACCUUUGCCCCAUCUGAAAUAUCUUUUGGAAUAGGAGUUCUGUCCCAGAGUUGCUGGUGUUGAGCCUCUGUGUCCUCUGUACUAAUUUGAAAUGCCACCUUCAUUGCUGUCUAAAGCCCAGUACACACUUCUCUUUCUGGAUUUUCUAGUUUGCUUCACUGGUCUGAAAUUUUUGUGUGCUAGUAUACAGUCUAGAGGGGUCGUUAUUUUUUGAAUUUCCUUGCAUAAUCAUGAAUUAUUCAUUAAUAUAAUAAUAAAGUAGCUUGGUCACAAGCUACACAUGCUGUGAUUUAUAAAUUAUGAAUAAGUCCCCCUUGUUUGAUAACAUGGACUGUGGGAAACAAGCAUUCUGACACAUUGCUGGGGAGACUAGAGAGAGUAUAGGCUCUAGUGAGGACGUUAGACAUCUUUUUGUCUCCGCCAGACAAGAUAAUAAGUUCAUUCUGACUCGCGGUUUCAGAGGUUCUGAAGAAGGAACUACAGCUUGUUGUCCAAAGAAAGGAGAGGCAAACUCUGGACCCUUUGUGUGCAUCGCAGGCCUGCCCUCAACAGCUUCCUCAUAAAACAGUGCACUAGGCAAAAGGCCAGGACGUCUACAGACCUAGUCCUUUCUGACCUCACUGAGAGCUGCUGGAGAAUGAGGAAGUCACAACAGGGACUCCAAGGAGAAGCUCUUACUAAGGGAAAGGCCAUUUCCUCAAGACUCACUGCGGAAGCCUCCAGAUCACCUUGGCUGACAACCGGUCAGCAAAAUCGCCGCAUUUACCUUUAGUUGAUUAAACUCACACAGCCAGGCAGAAUACAUUAGCUUCCUGCUAGCUUAAGAGAAAUAGCACUUCUGACAUGUGGGUCCUGGGACCCCCGUUAGUUGUCUGGGUUACUUUGUAGAAACUUGAGUGAACUUUUGCUAAGUUAGGAGUCUCCUCUGGAGCCUACAAUACCUGAUGGAUAAAUACAAUAAAAACGUAAAAUAAGAAGGCUUUGCAUCUGUCUUCCUAUAGUGUCCGUCCCUUUUGCAGUCUUAACUCCUGGGUCAGCUCUACUUAUAGAUGUUUAUCACUUAAAGCACUGCUUUGUCCCUUGCCCUGUUGCCUGUUGGAACUGGUGUUUCUUCUACCCCUCCCUUGUGUGUCCUAGGCAGCUUAUGCAUCUGCAGUCUAUACCAUGAGACCAGAAUGUUUGAGGAGUAACUCAGCAGUUUCCGAGCAAAGCUGGCCACCAAAUUAGCCCAUGAAAUAAAAGGAUAGUGUGUGUGUGUGUGUGUGUGUGUGUGUGUGUGUGUGUGUGUGUGUGUGUGUGUGUAUAAGAAGCCUAUCUUUUGGAAACUUUUGGGACUAAUGGACAGUGAAACUUUAGUUCACCCCCAAAAGUCAAAAGCCACUCUUUCAUUUGGUAAAGCUAGCACCAUGGUCACCUUUUUGGUCAGUGUUAUCUCUCUUUUACUCUUAUGCUAAAGAGCCCAUAAAUGGGAGCUCUGCCUUGCUUGUCCAGGUUCAUACCAUAUGCUUGGAGCCUAGCUCGAAGACACAGAUUUAGAAUCUGAACUACUCUGGAGGCUGAGGCAAGAGCAUCAGAGGUUCAAGGUCUGCCUGUAGAAACACCCCCGUUUCAGAAGCUCUAGAGAGGCCUGACACUACAACGCAGAGCCUGUACACUACUCAGAAAUGCAAAAAGCCAAUAUUGUGACUUGGUCUCAUUUCUGUUGUUCCCAAGCCAUAAAUCCUGCUAUCUAAUCUCAGUCCACAGUUCCUUGGCUUGGAUGCUUCUGUGUCCAUGUUGAGGCAGAACACCAUGGCAAGGAAACAAGUAUAGAGCAACACAGGUCACAUCAGCAGACAGAAGGAGGGCAGGGGUAGCAGAAGCAAGAUAAUAGACUAACCAAAAGCAUGUCCUCAAAUACCUGCUCUCAACAAGGUCCUAAGUUUUCACAUCCUAAUAGCCCAUCAAAGGAUCAAUCUAUAGAUGGCUUAGAGUCCUCAAGAUAAAAUUUUAUCCCCAAAGCUCAGACUCUAUAGGACAAACUUAAACUUUUGAUCCCCUUACCUCUGUGAGUUACAAGCAUGUGUAAGCAGUUCAUGUGAUGUUAAUGAUCACAUCCAGGGCUUUUGGUGCAUGUUAUGCUAGGCAAGCUACCAACUGAGCUUCGUCCCCCGUCUGCAUUUAUUGGCUUCUAUAGUCAGGCUUCAGUGAUUAAUGGGCUCUCUGGAAGCCCACCUGUUAAAUUACUAAGCUCCAAGAGCCCAUCUGAUAAGCACCUGCAGGAAUCCCUCUUGUUUAGAACUGGAGAAGCAGCUGGGUGUGGUGGAGUACUCUGGACUUUGAUCACAGCCCUUGGAUGGCAGAGUCUGGUGGUGGUUUGAGCUUGAGGCCAGCCUAGUCUGUCUAGUGAGUUCCAUGACAGCAACAGCUGCAUAGUGAGACCCUGUUUUAAAACAAACAAAUGAACAACGCCCCUAAACUUUGAGUCCCUCCAGGACCAUAUUCCAAAUGUUUCAUACAUUAUUGCUGAGUGUGGAUUUACUUUAAAGGCCAUGGGAAGAUGCUGAGUCGUCGUUAGUGGGGAAGCCAUAUGAUGUGCUCGGUAUUAUUCUGCUGCUGCAGUGUAGACCAUGGACUGGGGCUAUUGAAGUCACAAAAGCAAGAAAAUGUUGAGAGCUGGAAGGAGGGAGGUGGUUGAUGAGAUGGCUGAGAAUACAAACUUGAGGUGUUUACCAGAAGACAUGAGCCUGGAACUAAGAGAUGCAGGAGAGCAAGAGCAGCUAGCUAGUGUGCCAGAGAUUUGCUGUUUUGUCUUAGGCUAGUGGGUGAGUGCUGAUGCAAUUAAGGCAAAAAAUAAAAAUACUGGAAUGAGCAUGUGAGAAUAAUGAGUUCAGAUAAUGCAUGGGUUUGGUUUGAGGUCUCUGGGACACCCUAGAGAUGUACUGUUGGUACUUAGACAUGACAGAACGUAGUGUAGUGAAUGUUUACAGACUGGAAGAACAUGGCAAAGAAAAGUGGAAGGUGUGACGAGAAAGAAAGACUUAAUGCUAAGGAGACAGCAGCAGGCUUUGGACUUCUUAACUGAUCUACUACUCCACGCUUGGCUGUAGCCGUCAGUCCGACUUUCGUUAGUCAUCAGGUCUAAUAAUUGAGUGAAUCAAGUUUUGAGGACAUCACUAAACCAAGACAGAUUCACCCAUUAUUCAAACACAGACGGUCCCUUGCAAGUGUGACUUAAACUGAUGACAGUGGAGAGAAAGAGACUUGGAUUGCGCAGAAGCGGCAGUCUGUUUUCCUGGGCUAGUGAUGAUUCUCGUCAUGCUGGGCAUGUUACCAGUUUGUGCAACGGCAGACUAACGUAAUGUUCUGAACACUUGAGGGAAUCUAGGUAAGGCCUUGGUACAUUAGGUUAAAUGCAUCUUCAGUUUACACCACUUUCAACUUAAACGCAGGUUAUUAGAACAGAACCCCAUCCGGAGUUGACAUAUGCAAAUACUUGCAGGCCAGGAUGACAGGAUCAACAGCAGACGUUUCCGGCUGGGGAGAUGGGUCAGUAGGUAAAGAAGCCCGUGGCGGAGGUUGAUGGACUGGGACCCAUAUGGUGAGAGAGAACCAACUCUCACAUCUGUCCUCUGAGCAUCAUGCGCAUGCCCCCCGCCAAUCAAAAAUGUAAUAAAAAUACAAGUUCCUACCUUUGUAACGGGACCACAGACUUAACACAGCUGACACCAUGACAGAAGUACCAUUCAAGCCUUAAAAUCCAGCACAUAGGCAGCAACACCUGCCCAAAGGAGGACAAAGACCUAAUCCACCAGUCUAUAGUCUUAAAAGGUUCCUAAAUAUACUAACGUUGCUUUUUGGCCUCUGCAGUUCCACAUCUGGGCGUUCUUGCUGAGGUGUGUCAAUCCAGGAGUGGUUUUUAUGCUUAAAAGUGCACUCUGAGGAAGGCUCAGGGCUGCACUAGGGUCCCACACACGCAGGGUAGUCACCAGCUGACCAAUGAAGAGUUUCUAUGGCUCGAACUCUUGCUGGAACAGACUUCUCUGUGGAUACCUACCUCAACACCUUCUUACAGGUACACUAAGACAUUAUUUAUGGUUUGGAAGGUUUUUUUUGUUAUUUGGGACAGCAUUGCAUAUAAAACAAACUCACUAGGUAGCUGAAGCUGACAUUCAGUCUCUGAUCCUCCUGCCUCUAGCACCUCAGGUGCUAGAAUUUCAGGCAUGUAAUUUUGGAAGAUUUAAAAUAAACUUUGAAUGUU
ensembl:processed_transcript